UAUGGACUUGAUACGCGUACCCAUAACUUAAUUGUUUUAUGAUUGUUUUUAGCGAUAAAGAUUGUUAUUUUUUGUUUUAGAACCUAAAGCACCAAUAUUUUUUAAGUCUUUAUUCUUCCCGAAUAUAAUGUAUGUAGGACCUAUAUGAUAAUCAGCAAAACGUAAUCUCAGAAUUUUUGGUAGAAUAUUGUUUAUGGAGAGACAAUAAAGACGUAAAAGUAAACAAAAAAAAACUGUACAACACGAAACUACCUAUUAUAAUUUAUUUAUAGAGUACUUUAUACACGGUCACGAUUUAUUAUUAAAAUAUUUUCGAUCGAAAAAAAACAUUCACGAUAUCGCACACGGCUUGGAUUUUUCGCAAGGCCUGAUAAUGUUAAGCGACGGGUGUUUCAUUGGUUGGUAAGACAAUAGGUUUUAAGGACUUCAGAGAGCAUUUCAUUUCUGCCACUGUAGCCAAAAAGGGUAGUUUAAAAAUUAAAUUUUAUUCACCCUCAGAAAAACGGAGUGGAAAUAAAAAGGCGCCCGAGGUUGGGCUAGUGAAAAUAACAAUCAGGUUUCCACCAGUACGUUACCGCGAGCCGCAUUUGUUAGCCAUAGAUGAUUGCCUCCGAAUAUUUACACUUUGGAUGAUGCCAAGCGAUGACAGAACCUAUUACGAGCAAAUACCGUUACUCAACCACCUUGAUCUUCGGUCACCCCGAUGACUGGUAGGAUAUCAUUAUAUUUGAUCGAUACAAUUGUCAAGUAACCAAAAUAUGUAAUACCUCCAAAAUCAUCUAGAAUGUUGUGCACAAUAACAAGAAGAGAUGAUGCGAAUUUUGUUCCUUCGUCAACAUGCAAUGAUGUGAUCCAUAAAGUUAACAACAAAUGUUACAUACCCCAGACAUACCCCUAUACUAAUAAUUGUCUUGGUUAUUUAUUGUAUAGUUCAUAAAUAUACUUUUAUAAUCAUGACUGAGAGUUUAAUGCACUGAAGGAAAUAGGUAUACGUGCUUUUAAAAAAAGGAAAAAGAAUACCGGAGUAUGCAAAGUUAUAAUAUUAUCACAUUA